GACGAACGCUGGCGGCGUGCUUAACACAUGCAAGUCGAACGGAAAGGCCCUGCUUGCAGGGUACUCUAGAGGGGAACGGGUGUGUAAAACGCGGGUGUAACCUCCCCCACACCGGGAUAUGCCUGGGAAACAGGGGCUCUUACCGGUUAGGAGACCUUCUGAGUGCGGUGGAUGGUAAGUAUUUUGGGUGUGGGAUGAGCUCGCGGCCUAUUAGCUUGUUGGUGGGGUAAUGGCCUACCAAGGCGGCGAUGGGUAGCUGGCCUGGGAGGGUGGACGGCCACAUUGGGACUGAGACAUGGCCCAGACUCCUACAGGGGGCAGCAGUGGGGAAUAUUGCGCAAUGGGCGCACGCCUGAUGCAGAGACGCCGCGUGGGGGAUGACGGCCUUCGCGUUGUAAACUCCUUUCGCUAGGGAGGAGGCUUUUUGUGACGGUACCUGGAUAAGAAGUACCGGCUAACUACGUG
rnacentral:rRNA from 1 species